AUGUUUUUCAAAAUAGAUAAUCUUGGAAGUCCUACACAGAAUGCUCAGGCAAGAGAAAGAAAUAAAAGGAAGGAAGGCAUCGUGCAUGUCAGGAAGACAGAAUGGAAGUCUCUGCAGGACAGGAGGCAUGCAGGGAAAUAGAAGGAGAUGUGGCUAGGUGGAAAGAUUACUGGAACAAGAUAGGUAGAGUCUUGGAAUUCAGAAUAAAGACUUGAAAGGCAAGGUUUAUUUGCAGAACCAGUGGAGUGGGCAGGAAGAACAGGCAGGAACCACACAAGAGCUAUGUUCAGUCCUCCCUCCCUGAUGCUUUGAAACUGUCCUCCCAAGGCCCUUUCUCUUUGCUCAAUGAAGUGAAAACAUUUCUUCCACUUCCCAGAGUAACCCAGAAGACAUGCCCUAAGGCUCAGGGCUCCCCUCUUACAAGCUCGGGCAGCUCAUUAAGGAAAACUCCCCACAACUGUUUGCCUGGGCUCAGUCAGCGUAUAGACUAAAACAGAGCCAAGGUCCACAGCCUCUUGCCUGUCUGCCAUCUAAGCUUCCUGUGCCCCUACAGGAAGAAUUUACUACAGUGCUUCUCCUCUCACCUUUGGGGGAGCCCCAAGUAAAAAUGCUAGGCACUUUCACAUGACUCACCGGCUCACAGGUUCUCUCUCUCUCUCUCUCCCUCUCAAUCUCUGUCUCUCUCUCUCUCUCUCUCUCUCUCUCUCUCUCUCUCCCCCUACCACCUCCACUCCAAAGUAUUGUUUGCACCGUUCCACCGAAUAAUUACCUAAGAGACUGCCAAGGAGGAAUAUACUGCACAUCUUGUCUCUGGUGAGUCCAGCUCCAUCCCUAUAUAGUUGUACAUGUAGAAAUCACCUUUUGGGGGGUAUCAGCUGCCCUGAGAGCCUGGGGGAUGUUGGGAGAGAGCAGAGGGCCUCAUUGUCACUCUUACUCACGCGGGUGUUUGGAUAUCGGUGAUUUGGCCAGGUAAGGACAGAUAGGAUGGGAUCUGGCACAGAGAUGGGGUGGGUGUGAGGGCAUGACCAUCUUUUUGCCUGCCCACACUUAACGGACGGGGAAAUAAUGGGCAAAUCGCUGCCUGCCAAAGCCAGAGAUAAGAAAGCCUCAACCAAUGUAACCUACAUCCUCAACUAACUAGAUUUUUUUUCUUUUCUUCACUUUUGGCAUAAAGAGGCAAAUAAUCAGAUUUCAGAUUUAUAGCCAAGACUUUUUAAAACUAUGUCAAGAGAAUGAGAAGGGAAGCCAUAGACUGGGAGAAAAUAUGCGCAAAAAACAACUUUAGUAAAAGACUAUUAUUCAAAAAUAUACAAAAUAACUCUUAAAAAGUCAACAAUUAAGAGAAUCUAACAACUCAAUUAAAAAAUGGAAACCUGAACC
rnacentral:lncRNA from 1 species